rnacentral:rRNA from 1 species
AUUGAACGCUGGCGGCAGGCCUAACACAUGCAAGUCGAACGAGUGGCGGACGGGUGAGUAAUGUCUGGGAAACUGCCCGAUGGAGGGGGAUAACUACUGGAAACGGUAGCUAAUACCGCAUACCAUCGGAUGUGCCCAGAUGGGAUUAGCUUGUAGGUGAGGUAACGGCUCACCUAGGCGACGGUCCCGAGCUGGUCUGAGAGGAUGACCAGCCACAUUGGAACUGUGACACGGUCCGGACGCCGACGGGAGGAAGCAGUGGGGAAUAUUGCACCAUGGGCGCAAUCCUGAUGCAGCCAUGCCGCGUGUAUGAGGAAGGCUUUCGGGUUGGAAAGUACUUUCAGCGUGGAGGCGUUACCCGCAGAAGAAGCACCGGCUAACUCCGUGCCAGCAGCCGCGGUAAUUC